ACAGAUCAGUUAGUCACAUCCAUCCGGAGCAUCGGUUGUUUGCUUGCCCCCGAUUAUAUAACGUGGGAUUAGCCGGAUGAUUGUUGAUAACGAAAUAUCUACUUCUUCUGCUUGCCCUCCGCCUCCUCCAUAGCACGCAUCAUUUUGGCGUCGUGCUGGGCGUGGUGUUCACGGAUUGCCCGCUGCAGCUCCUCGUGGUGGCUUUUGCUUUCCGGCGGAUAAAGUUCCCGCUUCUUCUUGGUCACCCAUUCUUCAAAGUAUUCCGGCUGGUUAAACAAGUGGAAUAGCGUCACCGGAAAGGCCAUGUACAUGCCCAUCUUGGCCACCUCCAGCACCCAGGUUCCCAUUUCGCUGUAAUAUUACUCGGAUAGUUGUGAUAAAACGUAAUUUUCGUCGAAUAAAAUGUGUUUUCCUCGAAAAUAUCAACAAAAAACAGCUGAUUACAAUUAACUCAGUGUUGCCUGUCGUUGAGGGCAGGGCGAGCUGUGUUGGUUAAGGCGAACAUAUAUUUUGGGACAGUUGUCCUAAAACCGUUUUUAGGAAAAACAAUUU
ensembl:ncRNA asRNA:CR45275 antisense RNA:CR45275